AUAUUAAUAAGCGGAGGAAAAGAAACUAACAAGGAUUCCCCUAGUAACGGCGAGUGAAGCGGGAACAGCUCAAAUUUAAAAUCUCCUUCGGGCGAAUUGUAGUUUAGAGAAAGUGUUUUCUAGGAUAGCUCAGGCAUAGGUCCUUUGGAAAGAGGCGUCAUAGAGGGUGAGAACCCCGUCUGUGGCCUGAAGCCUAUUCUUCUGUGAUACACUUUCAAAGAGUCGAGUUGUUUGGGAAUGCAGCUCAAAAUGGGUGGUAAAUACCAUCUAAAGCUAAAUAUUGGCGAGAGACCGAUAGCGAACAAGUACCGUGAGGGAAAGAUGAAAAGAACUUUGAAAAGAGAGUUAAACAGUACGUGAAAUUGUUAAAAGGGAAACGCUUGAAAUCAGUGUUGCAACCAGCAAUCAGCCAUCCAUAGGGUGGUGCACUUGCUGGAAGCAGGUCAGCAUCAGUUUGUCGUGAAGUAAAAAGCUGUGAAGUGACCUUCGGGUCAAGUUGCAGUCAUGCUUUGUGGCAGACUGAGGAAUGCUUUUACAGGAUGCUGACGAAAUGGUUUUAAACGA
rnacentral:rRNA from 1 species